UACGGAGGGUGCAAGCGUUAUCCGGAUUCACUGGGUUUAAAGGGUGCGUAGGCGGGCAAGUAAGUCAGUGGUGAAAUCUCCGGGCUUAACCCGGAACUGCCGUUGAUACUAUCUGUCUUGAAUAUUGUGGAGGUAAGCGGAAUAUGUCAUGUAGCGGUGAAAUGCUUAGAUAUGACAUAGAACACCAAUUGCGAAGGCAGCUUACUACACAGUUAUUGACGCUGAGGCACGAAAGCGUGGGGAUCAAACAGG
rnacentral:rRNA from 1 species